GCCAGAAUGGGAAAAAAUUUAGGAGAGAGAAAAAAGAAAAAAAAAUAGUUUAAUAAUCAACACAAAAGGAUAACUUAAAAUAGGAUGGAAUUGGUUUAAUUUUGGACGGGUAAAUAGAGUAGGAUGGAAUUGGUUUAAUUUUGUCGGUACUGGUUCCUAUUUCGAUAGAAUAAGCCCCUUCUCAAGUUCUUAUUUCGAUAUGAUAGAAGAAGCCCUUUUCCAAUUAUGAAAAUGAAAAUUCAGUUCCCAAAAUUUAACUACACUCCAUUUCAAAAUCAAAUGACUAAUCCAUCGAACUACACUCCAUUUCGAUGAGAUUGGAAAUGAGUAUGAAUCUAACUACACUCUGUUUCUUAUUGAAAUGUUAGGGUUUGGGUUACAGAAAAUUCGAAGAAGACCAUCAUUAAUCGAUUAAUGGAGUCGUUGUUGGGAAUGAGGAAUCUCUGAAUCGUAUUGGAUGCAAUAUGUUGUAUAAUUAGGUCUUCCAAUCUGAAAACUGUCUCAGUAACAUAUUCUGGUAGGCCUCAUCUCUAGCAAUGAUUUGUUGUCGAUUCCAUUCAUACCAUGUAGUGGUGUGCACAUCUUUCAGUCAUUCUGCUGUCAUAUCCAAUGAUAUGUUUUUCUUUUCAUGGGGAGUAGCCUCCUUAAAUUGCAUUGCUGGUAUGUUAUUCUUCUCCAUCAGGAUCUGUAUUAUUUUUGUUCUAUUUUACCUGCAUGAACUAUUGAACUGUUAUACCAAUUAAGAUGAUACAUAGAGGAAAAAAGAAUAACACAAAUUUCAUAGAGAAAAAAUGUACCUUGUUGAACAGGUUUUGUAAAAUCUAUAUACCUAUCGUAUGGUUUUA